rnacentral:rRNA from 1 species
UACGUAGGGUGCGAGCGUUAAUCGGAAUUACUGGGCGUAAAGCGUGCGCAGGCGGUUGUAUAAGUCAGAUGUGAAAUCCCCGGGCUCAACCUGGGAACUGCAUUUGAGACUGUACGGCUAGAGUGUGGCAGAGGGGGGUAGAAUUCCACGUGUAGCAGUGAAAUGCGUAGAGAUGUGGAGGAAUACCGAUGGCGAAGGCAGCCCCCUGGGUCACUACUGACGCUCAUGCACGAAAGCGUGGGGAGCAAACAGGAUUAGAUACCCUGGUAGUCCACGCCCUAAACGAUGUCAACUAGGUGUUGGGAGGGUUAAACCUUUUAGUGCCGUAGCUAACGCGUGAAGUUGACCGCCUGGGGAGUACGGCCGCAAGGCUAAA